CUCUGUAUAUCACUUCUUUAACAUGAAGAAUGUCUCUAUCAAAGCCGAUUUUACCAUUUUGAAAACUAAUAUCAUUUCUUGUGUCAAGUUUUCCUAAGAACUAUUAUGAUCAUGGUCAUGAUCAGAUUCUAAAUUUGAGAGCUUCAACUUCUUCCAACAAGUUUGAAUAAGCUUUCAUGACUAAUUUUAUCAAUGUUGAUGUUAAAC
rnacentral:lncRNA from 1 species